UCAAGGGCGUAUGGUGGAUGCCUUGGCUUUGUGGAGGCGAUGAAGGACGUGGCGUGGCGGCGAUACGCUUCGGGGAGGUGCCGAGCAACCUUUGAUCCGAAGAUGUCCGAAUGUGGAAACACACUAUGAGUUACAUCAUAGUAUCCAGCACUUGUGCUGGAAGCGUACCCUGGGAAGUAAAACAUUUCAGUACCAGGAGGAAAAUAAACAAAUAUGUAUUUCGUUAGUAGCGGCGAGCGAAAGCGAAAAUAGUCUAAACUUAACCUAAAUCGUACGGCGUGGACUUCGGUCCAUUCCGUGUGAUUUAGGUUGAGGGUUGCAAGAUAGAAACGUGCUAUUUAUAGCAGAGAAGUCACAAAAUUUUUUAUUAGCUUGAUGAGCUGGAAAGCUCGACCCUAGCGGGUGAUAGUCCCAUGAGUUACAAUAAAAAAUCUUCUUUGUUUCUACUCUUAAGUACCCCGGGACACGAAUAGCUCGGGGGAAUCCGCCGGCACUAACCGGCAAGACUAAAUACUCCAAAAGACCGAUAGUGAACAAGUACCGUGAGGGAAAGGUGAAAAGUAGCCCGGAAGGGCGGUGAAAUAGAUCUGAAACCAUAUGCCUACAAGGAGUCGAAGCGGGCGCAAGUCCGUAACGGCGUGCCUAUUGAAGAAUGAGCCAACGAGUUUUAGCAAGCUGCUCGACUAAGGCCGCGAGGCCGGAGUCACAGGGAAACCGAGUCUGAAUAGGGCGCUCGUAGUUUGCUAAAGACCCGAAGCCAGAUGAGCUUGCCAUGCGCAGGGUGAAGUUCGCCGAAAGGCGGAUGGAGGCCCGAACCGGUUAGCCGUGCAAAACUAUCGGAUGACGUGUGGUAAGGAGUGAUAAGCUAAUCGAAUCUGGUAAUAGCUGGUUCUCUCCGAAAGAACUUUUGGGUUCGCGUCGGAUGUACCUUUGUGGGGUAGAGCACUGGAAGGUCUCGACAGGUCGAAAGAUCACGAGACCUAUCAAACUCCGAAUACACAAAGUAAUUGUCCGGCAGUUAGACUGUGGGGGCUAAGCUCCAUUGGUCAAAAGGGAAACAGCCCAAGAUCUCUAUUUAAGGUCCCUAAAUCGACGUUCAGUGCGCUUAAGGUAGUGAAAUUUCUAUGACAAUGAGGAUGUAGGCUUAGAAGCAGCCAUCAUUCAAAGAUAGCGUAACAGCUCACUCAUCGAGAAAUUUCGCGCCGCAGAUAAUCGGGGCUUAAACGUCGUACCGAAACUGAGGACUGGACAGUGCUUCGGCAUUGUCCUUUGGUAGGAGAGUAUUCGUAUCGCGAUGAAGGUGAAGGGGUGACCCACACUGGAGCGUUACGAAGUAAGAAUGUUGGCACAAGUAACCGCAAUGCGGGUGAGAUACCCGCACGCCGAAAAACCAAGGUUUCCUUGGCAAUGUAUAUCAGCCAAGGGUUAGUCGGUCCUAAGGGGAUGGCGAACGCCGCACCCGAUGGGCACACGGUUAAUAUUCCGUGACUUUUGUGUAUUGCGAUGGAGUGACGAAGUGUAGUAUGCCCUGCGCACUAUUGGAUCUGACGUUCGUGCUGUAAGGAAGGGUCCUGGCAAAUCCGGAUCCUGUCUUCAAUGACACUUCCAAGCAGAGCGAAAAUGCCGCAAGGUAAAAUAGGGUAAAGCACGCUUCCAAGAAAAACUUCUAAGCAUAAAUACAUAAAAACCGUACCGCAAACCGACACAGGUGGUUAGGUCGAGUAGACCUAGGCGAACGAGUGAGUGGUCUCCAAGGAACUCGGCAAAAAAGCAGCCGUAACUUCGGAAUAAGGCUUGCCCUUUGUUAACUCAAAGGGCCGCAGCUAAAGUAUCUCUGGCAACUGUUUAUCAAAAACACAGCUCCCUGCGAACUCGUAAGAGGAUGUAUAGGGGGUGACACUUGACCAAUGCCAGAAGGUCAAAUAAUGGCGUUGCUACUCGCAAGAGUAGUGGUGACUGUUAUAAGCCCUGGUGAAUGUCGGUCGUAACUAUAACGAUCCUAAGGUUCUCGGUUUGUUUUCGAAGAACGAACCGAGGAAGACUAGGAUUGUUAUGAGAUUAAUUUUUGAUAAUUCUAUAAAAAGAAACAACACGUUAGAAACACAAAUGCUACCUCGUCUCACGGCAACGUGAGACAAGUCAACAUGGCUCCAAGAGACUAUACGCCAUGCUCCAGGCCCACAAGGUCGGGAUGAAGACAUAGUCCUUCGUAAGGAAUAGAAGAGCGCAAUUCCUUGUCAGGUAAGUUCUGACGCGUUGAAUAGUGUAAUGACUGGAGAACUGUCUCGGAGACUUGCUCGGUGAAAAUACAGUACCGGUGAAGAUGCCGGUUACCUGCAGUUAGACGAAAAGACCCUAGAAGCUUUACUGUAACUUGAUAUUGACUAUACGUUUUUGAUGCGUAGCGUAGUUGGGAGGAUUUGAAGUGUCGCUUUUGGGUGGCAUGGAUCCGUCGAUGAAACACCAAUCUUUAAAAAUGUAUAUUCUAACCUCGGCGGUAUAAACGCCGGGAGACAGUAUCUGGUGGACAGUUUUAGUGGGGCGCUAUCCUCCUAAACAGUAACGGAGGAGCCUAAAGGUCAGCUAGCCGUGAAUGGAAACCAUGGCGAUAGUGUAUGGGCACAAGCUGGCUUGACUGCGAGACGUACGUGUCGAGCAGAUGCGAAAGCAGAGCCAAGUGAUCCGACCUUGCGUAUUAGAUGCGGGGGAAGCUCAUCGGACAAAAGCUACUCUAGGGAUAACAGGCUAGUUCCGCCUAAGAGUUCAUAUCGACGGCGGAGUUCGGCACCUCGAUGUCGGCUCACCACAUCCUGGGGGUGGAGAAGCUCCCAAAGGUUUGGCUGUUCGCCAAUUAAAGUGGUACGCGAGCUGGGUUCAGACCGUUGAGCAUUUAAUUAUGCAAAAUGGUUCGACCAUCGAAAUGUUGUCAUAUGUGCAUGCGUAAAGCACAUGCACAGGGAACAUGAAGGGAAUUAUUGACUGCGAAUUGAAUAUUCGACAGUCUGAAUCACUUCGAGAAUUUUUCGUUUUAUUGAACAUGUGAUACAUCACAUGAUGUAGAGAGAAAGGAAUGAUCAAUCAACCACGGCGGUCACUUUAGUCAAUUAAAGUGAUGAAGUCGAUUAAUAUCGGUGGAGUCCAUUUAAAGUGGAUAAUACCGAGGGAAGCGUCAAUUAAUUUUGGCUG
rnacentral:rRNA from 1 species